UUGAGGAUUUUUAGGUGUUUCAAUUAAUUGAUUUUGGAGAUUUUUCUUCUUUCAAGUUUGUUUGCCUUGACUCAGAUCUCUACGCGGAAAUCAGAGGGAGAAGGACCGAGAGAGGGCUCAGGCUCGUAACCCUGGCAAGGGCAAAUCCAAGGAUGAUGGUUUGACCCACGAGCAGCGCCGUGAAAGGGAUGCGAAGGCUCUACAGGAGAAGGCGGCGAAGAAGGCGGCUCAGGCAUCAGGGGGAGAUAAUUCGUCCGGAGGUAAAAGUAGCAAUAAAAAGUAAAUCGCCGUGAACUAUGUCGAUUUUUAACUUUGUUCUUGUUGGAACGCUGAGAUCUCGUGGAUUUCUUAAGACUGUUUGAUAUUGGAGAAACAACCUCUGUAUGUCUAAAUGAUGUGAAUGGAUAUGUAUUAUGCGGUCAACGUUAAUUGGAGAAAACUCUCUUGAUAUGUUGUGUUGA